GCUACCUUUAGCUUAGUGGUAGAGCAUCUGCUUUGCAUGCAGAAGGUCCUGGGUUUAGUCCCCAGCAUCUCCA